CCACAGACGACGCCACAACGUUCGCGCGAGUCAGUUCGACGACGUACAUUCGCAGACGUUCAUUGUUCACUCGCGAAAAUAAUCAGAAGAGUACUCUUAAUUUUUCUAAACUAUCGAAUAAAUAUUUUGUUAUGAAAAUCUAGAAAUAAAAAAGAAGAAGAAAAAAAAGAAAGAAAGCAAAAAAUAAAAGGAAAAGGAUAGAGCUUGAGAAUUGUGAAAAAAAUACGUGGAGAAAUUGAGUUACGAAGAAUUUUUCAAAGGUCUUGAAGGAUUUUAACGGACUUUCAUCGUUCGAAACGACGACGAUGGAUGAAGGUUUUCAGAAGCGAAGACGGAAGGUGGAAAAGGUCGACGAGUUCUUGACGAGCUUAGAGAAAAAAGAAUAUUGCGAGGAGGACGUGAGAGUGACAAGUUAAGGUUCGAACGAAGGUGACGCUCUUGCGUCCUGUGAAUCCUGUGACUUCUUCCAACUGACUCGGUCGGUAAAGUCAUUUCCUUUGAAUUCCGUGCGUGCUACCGCAACGGAAAAUGUGAGAUUCUACGUGAAUUUGAAUAAAUUCACGGAUGAUUACUCAUUUUAUUGCGAUAACAAAAACUUAAAUAUUUUCUGUGAUAAAAGAAUAAGCUAUAUCAAGCCAAAGAAUAUCGUCCUGCGUUCGCCGUUUUCUCAAACAAAAAGUCACUAAAGAAAAAAAAAGGAGAAUCAUUUCGUAUUUAAGAAAAAUAAAAACACCUUUCUUUUUUAUCAUAUCGAUCCUAAAAAAAAAAAAAAAAAGAAAAAUCGAUAUUUCGACUGAAGAGAAAAAUUCCAGAUGAAAUUUCGAAAAGCUGCAUCAACGUCCAGUCCAAAAAUGGAAUUAUUAUCAAGACGAUCGACAACGAACGACGGCAGAAUGUCGACGUUGAAAAGAUCGAGAUCGUUUCGUGCUUCGGUAAAAUUGAUAUCGAAAAUCCGAAAUCGUGCGGCGUUCAGGCUUGCCUCGGGUUUUGAAAUAUCGCCUAUGUCCUCGAAGGAUCAAUAUAAAACGACACGUAUAUCCUCAAAGGAUCCCGAAAAAGUGAAACAGCAACAGGAAUUGCCUAGGACAUUUGUGAAUUCGAGGAAGAAUGAGAAAGAGAAGCCGAUCGAUAAGAGAGAUGAAAGAAAAAAGAACGAAGAUAUACCUCAGGAAGAUCUGCGAAUGUUGUUAGAAACGAAUUCGUCGAUCGACGUCGUCGAGUCUCGCGAGAUUACGAAGGAUUUUGAGAAGAAGCUUUCUCUUGAUGACAGAAUAAGCAUGAAAAACCGAAAAGAUCUUGAAAGAUCUUGGGAGGGUAAAAUAGAGGACGAAACUAAGUCGCCGAAAGUCGUACGUAUUUUUCGUCGAAAAAUUAUGACCGACGAAAGUUCGAAAAAGAAAAACGACCAAGCUGUGAAAGCUAAGGGAAAGCUAGAAAAGAACGAACACGGUUACGAGAAUCCUACGUUCUCUUUGGACAGUUCCCUUGACUCGAGUUUUGCUUCUGUUGAAAUCAACGUAAAAAAUGAGGAACAAAUAACAUGUGAGGAACAAUAUGAAUGUGUAGUCGAAAAAACUAAUCUCGACGAGCAAAAACUCUUAAAAUCAUUACUUUCUAACAAAUCUGAUCUCAAGUACAUUAGAAGUUUCAGUAUGAGAGAAGAUAGAAGUUUCGUGAGAGAUAAAAGUCCAGGAUAUGAAAGAAACAAUCGACCAAAGACGAAUUUUUAUUCCGAGACCGAAAUCGAUGCCUCGUCAAGAUCGAAAGAAAAAUAUCAUCGUGAUCUUCGAUUAUGCAUCGAAAAUACGGACAGUCUUUGCCCUUCCAAAUCUUGCAGAAACAAGACUGUCGAUAAUUUAACUAACUUUUGGACGAAUGCUCGUGGUGGAAGCUUUCGUAGCAAAAUGUCCGCCAGUAAAAAGAAACUAGGAAAGGAGUCAAAGGAUCUAGAAUCAAUCGGACAGGAUCGAGUUCUCGUCACGACCACUUCCGGAUCAAAACUGCAAUCGCUACAAGGUAUGGAGUUCCUGGAAGGUUUUGGAAAAAAGAAGCAACAGCCACAGCAGCAUUCGAAUAAUUUGUCGUCGAUCCAUAUUAAUCCUCUCUCAGCACAAUCCCUCAACAUACAUUUGCAUGCUCUUUUUGCAGCCGUCGAACAUGGUCAUUUGGACAAAGCCAGAACAAUUUUGGAGUCGACCGACGUGGACGUAAACAGUGUAAAUAGCGACGGUUUAUCGCCAUUGGACGUCGCAGUGCUCAGCAACAACAGACCACUGGCGAAGAUGUUGGUCACGUUCGGCGCUCAGGAAGGCAACCAAUUCAAGUCACCGGAGUCCUUGGGCAGUCAUUUGGCGUCGUUACUGUCGGAAGCAGAACAUAGAGUCCAAGAACUCGGUGGCAGCACUUCCGGCAGCGGUGGUAGCACUCUUUUGGAACCACCGAGCAGCCACAGAGCCAGUUUCUCGACGCAGCAUAAUAAUCUUACGGGAUGCGGAGGCAGCACCGAAGACAAACAACUAGCUCUCUGGGAGAGGAGAGCUCGAGCAUUGAGAAAGAUGUUGUUAGGUUUCGAUCAAGCAAGACCACCAGACAUGCCUUUCAUGGUCACAGUCGAUGUUACCGGAACGACCUCCGUGACAGUCAAAUUUCAAGAACCAGAUUCACAUGACUCUCCAAUUUGUACGAAAUUCAAAGUUCAGUGGAGUCUUAAGGAGGAUUUUUCUACUAUAUGUGGUGAAAGAGAGGUUCUCGAUAUGAAACAAAGAGAAUGCCGUAUCGACGGACUCAUUCAAGGACAAAAAUAUUAUUUCCGUGCGGCUGCGGGAAAUUUAAAAGGCUACAGCAGAUUUAGGAAUUCGGUUCCUGCUCAUGUCACUCCUAGUAGUUGGAGAGACGUUGACGGCAGGAUACCAAGAUUUGCUGGACGUUUAGAACAAUUGAACACUCUCUUUACCGAUAUAAGACGUCCGGAAUAUACGCACGAGACACCAGCAGUUCAAAGACGCAAUCAUAAAAAGAAAACGACGAUAAAGCAACUCUUUACCGCAACAAGCAAGUUUCAGAAGAAUCUGCGGCGUGGCGUGUUUCUUGCUUGUUUGCUUUAUCAUGAGGAUAAGGUUCUCGUCACCAAUGAAGACUUUUUACCUGUGAUCGAGGUCGAUGAAACCUAUCCUAGUUCUAUUUAUAACGAUUUUCACUGGUUAAUGAAAGUUGCAUGCACGUGGGACGACGUAAAGACUCUCCGGCAAGAUAUGGAGAAAAGUCACAGCAGUUCAACUAAUCACUUUAGGAUAAAAUUGCUCCAGGCUGCUGCACAAAUGCAGGCUGCACUAUGUAUACAAGAUCUUGGCCAGUUAUACCAUAAACCGAUAAGAGACAUUCAAGGAACCCUUGUAUUUGCAACCGUGAACUACGUUAAAUCACCAAAACUCGUAUCAGUCUUAAAUAGUAGAUGGCUUCCUUUGAGUAAAGUCACUAAAAAAAUUAUAAUUCACGAAGAUAGCAACGUGGCGGAUAUUUUGAUGGCCAGUAUACAAGAACAAAUGACAUAUCACCAAGUCAGUAGUAUCAAAUUAUCAAGGGGUUUAUACCUUGGUUACUUAAAAAUGCAAAGUAGUGUGGAUCUUAUACAACUGGUUGUACCAGCAAAGUCACCUAAUGUUUUGCCACAUUGUAAAAUACGUGACAACCCUCAUGUAUCCGCGGAGGAAUGGGAUUAUCUAAAGAGGAUAACUCGUAUUUAUGCCUCCGACAGUUCUGUCAAAGAUUCAGAGGAGAAAGAGAAUGUAACGAACGAAUGUCAGGGUACAGAACAACAGAAAUUAUUCGUCGAUUUGGUCUCCGCAACGUCACGUCGUCUUUUUAAUUAUAUGGAAAUUAAUCCAGAGGAUUCUUUAGUACAUCGACUUUAUGAUGCUGAAGUUAUAGAUCUCACGCACGAUGUGUCAUUUCUUAUUACCGUACCUCCUGCAGAAACAGCGUGUUGUGUACCCGGAACAAGAGAAAUUCUUUUACAACGAGGAGAUUUACUUUCCUUGCCUAUUCAAGUAUUCGAAAUGGUUCACUUAAAUACAUACCAAAAGGACGUGAUUAAUCGAUAUUCAAGGCUAAGUUGUAUAUUGGAAUUAGACACCGCACAAGCUCAGCAUAAUCAUAGAGAAGCUUUUAGCUCUUUAGAACUAAGCGUAGCAAAAGAUAAACUUGCGAGGUUACAAGAUCUACAAUCUCAGGUAAACACAGUAUGGAAGGGUGCUAGAUGGCUUAUCGACGUCAUCACUUUUGCAAGAGACCGUGGAUCUGGACAACAAAGCGGUACAUCACAAACUGUUGGCAUAUCUAUGAAACAUCUAUUAGGUCUAGACAGAAAUAAAAGUAACAGCAACAGUUUAAAAAGAAGUCUUCUUCAGUUACCACCUCGGGAUCCUAAACUUGUCAAAUCGAGUCCAGGACGUGGAAGUUGGCCAGGUCCAAAUGUUACAAAUUCCUCUUCCAAUUUGCUUACAACCGAAUUUAGCAAAAGCGAGCAACAAUUACCUAGUGCUCAAUACGUACGGAAGAGCAGUAACGUUUCAACAAAUUCAGAACCUCAAAAAUCGUCCGUUACUAUAAGUAGUGCUAGUAAUUUGACCAAUACCAAGAACGUUAGCAGUAACAACCAUUUAGUACCUAUGCAGAAUGUACGGCUUCCACCUUCGAAAUCUGAGGACACCCUUUUACUUACUAAGUACAAACACAGUCCUAGAAAUCGUUCGGCCACCAUCACUUCUGCAUCGGCAAGUACCAGUCCAUUACUUAAUAUAAAACCGAUUAUCUAUGGUGGAUCGCUUUUAAGCGUAUCAACGGCUAUGACCAACACCAAUACGAGUCUCCUCAGUGUUAGUAACACAAAUUCCGACAGUCUUCAUUCUCUAAGUAGCGACGAAUAUUCAACUCCAAAUUCGAGUAUUUGCUUAAAACCAGGACAUAUAAAAGUCAAAACGACAAAAUCAACGGCUAGUUUAGCAAACAUGGCUACUUCAGUAGUGGAUAAUCAAUCGGAAGAAGAAAAAGACGAAGCAACGAUGAUGCCAGCACCUCUACCUGGUAUUCUUCAGGGGACACAAGUUUAACCUGAUUAUAGUUAAAAACAUCUCACUUGGUCUUCUAGUGCAAACCAAUUUAGCAGAUACAUAAGUUUAUGCGGCCUAUGAAACUGGUUUGGCCUCUGGUACCAGUUUAAAAUUACAUGUAACACCACGAACCACAGCAAGAGAAGUUGUAGAUCUUGUUGUCAAGCAAUUAAAUAUGGCUGUAGUCUUAAAGGGUCAAGAUGGGCCUAUCUACACAGUCGAUGAAUUACCAAAUUUUUGCCUAGUUGCUGUAAUUGGUGCGAGGGAACGUUGUUUAAGGGAUGAUUUUAAACCCCUCCAACUACAAAAUCCGUGGAAAAAGGGGCGUUUGUAUGUUAGACAAAAACAAGAUGUUCUUGCUGCUCUCGAACACAGUAGCAAGCAUACAGCCUAUUUAUAGCAAAAAUAUGAUAAAACAUCUUAAAAUUAUAAUUUGUGAUCUGUAGUUUUCAAAAUAUGGCAUAGUGAUAACUAUUAAUAAGUUUGAGAAUGUAAAAUCACAUUGGGUAUCGAAUGAAAAUUGUCAUACGAUAAAUCGAAAAUUUUAUUUUAUAGGACUUGAUGUUUCUAAAAAUUGGUCUUUAUAUUAAAAAUAUAAUUUAUUACACGUAUAAAAAAAUCGGGAGAAAUCGUUUUCCUCAUUUCAUGUAAAGUCAACUAGCUUUACUUAGAUUAUAAAGUGAUAUUUGACGUGAAAAAACGUCGUAGGUCAUAUUCUAUAAUCUACAUAAUAUAAAAGGUUUCUCGUCGUAAAUAAUUGCACUAGAUGAUCGGUGAACUCGAAUAAUUUUCUGUAUCUAGAACUGUACAUUCCAAGUUUUAAUGCCGCGAUCAAAUGCGAUCUGUAAUAUUCCGCGAAUAUUAAUUAGUUUGUAAAAAAAAAAAAUUAAUACACAAGAUAUAUUAUACAUUAUUAUUAUAUUUUAGGUACCGAUCUCAAUGUUUUGUCCGAUAUGCGCGUCAUUAUCAGUGUGUCAAAUGUUUCAGAGAUGUCGUCGUUCCUGAACUCUUAAUGAUAACUUUUGUGUCCGUAUAAAUAAAUAAUCGUAUGUAACUUUGAUAAAUUUCAACUUAACGUUUGUAAAAAUUAAUUAAAUAUAGCAUAAAAAAAUAGUUACGAUGCUUAACUGCAUUUUUAAUAGCUAUUUAUUAAUCAUAUAUCAAAAAUGAAAUAUAACAUAUUAAGAGUAUUAAUUUCUUUUUAAUAUGCUUUAUAAUAUUUUUUUAUUUAAAGGCUUUCAAAAUGAUAAUACAAAAAGUUCCUAAGGUUCCCCAAUAUUAUUGAAAAGAAAUUAAAUUAUUAUUGUACUAAAUUCGUUGCUAGGAACGAUAGAAAUAUCUCUGCUAAGAAGUAAAAUCAACAUCGGUGCUCAUUUAAAAGAUGAUUUGAUUUUAUGAAGGAUGACAAAGAUUGAAUGAAAGUUGUUUGCAAUUGAUAGUGCGUUUGUGACAAAGAGGCUUAUAGACUGUGCUGUAAAAUAGAAACAAAUAUUAUUAUUUUUAUUUCGAAUGCUAUUACAUGGGAAGAGAGUGUGCGUCAGUGAACAUAAGUAUAAAACUUCAUUUUUUUUAUAUUUGAAGUAUACUUAAUUUUAAACAAAUUAUAUCCAAAGUUCUCACUCUAUUGCUGUUAAUCAUCAGAAUUUUUUGAUGAUAUUAAAUAAGAAAUUCAUUCUAAUAAUAAAAUUGAGAAAUUCACGAUAUUGUCAGUGCAUUUUUCAAUCAAUAUUUAAAACACGAAUAUGAAAUUUUAAUAAUUAAUAAAAACUUAAUAUAUUGUGUCAACACAUUGUAUCUAUAUCAGAGAUGAGAAUUCUUAUGUAUCCUAAUUAUAAGCAGCAACUAUUUUAAAUUGCAUCCCAAGUAAAUAGCACAGUACAAUUAUUUUUCAUCGCCUAUACCAAAAUUUAAAUUAUACCUUCUUGAUUAUAUUUUCACGUAAUAAAAUUGAUGUAUUUUAUACUUUUGAUGCUGAUAUAGAUUCUCUCACUUCUGAUUUAUAAACCAUAUAAAGUGAUACUCUGAUAACACAAUAUGACUGCACAAUAUUUAAGAAGUUUAAAAAGAAUUUUAGGAUACCUUCCUACAUAAACUAAUAAUCAAGAUUCAAUAUUUUGUAAACAUUAUAUAAUUUUUAAUUUCAUUUUAUGCUAUAACGUAACAUAUUCUUUUAAGAUUUUAAUCCAUAUAUAUAUUUCAAAAAGGAAUAUUAAAUAUUAAAUAUUAAAUAUUAAAUAUUAAAUAUUAAAUAUUAAAUAUUAAUAAGAUCCGUCCUUCGCUUACUGCACAUUAUAUUUACUUAGAAAGUAUCAUUCAGAAUAAAUAAAUAUUUCAUAUUUAUUGUGCAGUAUAUAUUGUACACAGAGGGGCCACUUACGUUUAACAAAAAUCUAUGAUGCACAUAUUUUUUUAUUGGAAAAAUUGACAUUCUUACUAUAUAGCUUAAGAAUGCUUUACAAAGAUGAAACAGCGAGUAAUUGAGACAGGAUGAUGCAAAAUUUUAUUAGCUCUGAAUGUUUAUUGAUGUUAAAUGUAAAAUAAGUAUUAAUUAGAUAGAUGUUAUUAUACAGAAAAGAGAAAAGAGAAAAAGGAAAGAUAAAAACAAGUAAGCAACAAAGGAAAGAAAGAGAGGAAAACCAAAAAAAUAUGUUAUGUUCAAAUAAGUUAUAGAAAUAAAGGUUUUCCUUUAUUAUAAGGAAAUAGAAUUAAAAUAGAGAAAAAGUAAUUCAAGAUAUUAGAAUUUGUAAAUACAUUAGAGUAUAGAAAGACGAUGACGAUAAGACACGCAAACUAACGAGAUUAUUUUAUCUGAAAGCGUAUAUUUAUCAUGAUGUAUCUAUAUAAUUGCGCCUACUAAAAAAGCGAAGAUGAAAGGUACAUAUAAAAUAAUAAUCGAAAAAUACAAUGAUCGCCGUUUCCUUCGCACCAAGAAAGACGAAAAAAAGAAAAAAGAGAAAAACAGAAAAUUAUAAGAUUAAAGAAAGUUGAAAAAGCGUGUAUACAAGUAUACAAAUAAUUGUGGUGAAAUAUUAAGGAAAUAACAAAUUUGAUGUUUGUAUAGGAAAAAAAUUUUUCGUUCAGUCGUAACUAAAUUUUCCUUUCGCCCCUUCUUUUUUCUUUCUUUUUUCUCAUUUCCCUUCAUUCAGUCUCGACGGAAUCCUGUAUAAGAUGAAAAAAUGCACGUAAAAAAGAAGAAAAAAAAAAGAAAAAAAAAUGAAAAAUAGAAUAAAAUGUAUCAUUGUAUUUGAGUCAUAUCGUCUUUCACGCGGUCACGUCGGUACUUUUCUCUUUUAUUUUUCAUUUAUUAUAAUCUUCUCUCUUUACCCAGUAAUUUUCCCCGACACAAGCAGAACCUGCCCGCCCUGUUGGCUAAACGAGAAACGAACCCGGACUUCCCACGACCGAGAGUCCUGCUGACCCACUUCAAACCUUGUUUCUCGUCUCAUCUCGUCUCUCGUACCACCUACUCCUUAUUUAUUCCCGACUCAGAGCGUAAUUAUGCGCUCUUUUUCUUAUCUUGGAUUUGCCGAGAAAAGGGGCAAUCGUCUCGAAUUUAACGGUAAAGAAUUUCUUCGAAUUCUUUUCUUCUUCUUCUUCUUUCUAAUCAAAAAAAAAAAAAAAAAAAAAAAAGGGAAAAAAAAAAGAAAGAAAAACAUAUGAGCUCCAUUCGUAGAAUCGUCGUAUACAAGAAAUUAUUUUUAAUUCGUAUUAUUAACUUUUCAAAGAACUAUCGCGACGGCAUUUCGCUGGAGAACGUGAUGCAGUUACAAAAAAAAAUAUUAUAAAAGAUUAGAUAUAGACGCAUAAAAACAUGGUAUUAUCGUGAUUGUUAAAAUAAAAAAAAAAAAAUCAAGAACUUUUUAAAAACAAACAUUUGAAAUAAUCUUCAUGAAAAUGAAUUGCUCGAAGCACGAGUUACGAAAUAGUUGGUUGUUCUUGUUUUCUCGUGUCAUUGAUACAUCUCGUAUUUAAAAA